GACGAACGCUGGCGGCGUGCUUAACACAUGCAAGUCGAACGGAAAGGCCCUUCGGGGUGCUCGAGUGGCGAACGGGUGAGUAACACGUGGGUGAUCUGCCCUGCACUUUGGGAUAAGCCUGGGAAACUGGGUCUAAUACCGAAUAGGACCAUAAUCUUCAUGGGUUGUGGUGGAAAGCUUUUGCGGUGUGGGAUGGGCCCGCGGCCUAUCAGCUUGUUGGUGGGGUAAUGGCCUACCAAGGCGACGACGGGUAGCCGGCCUGAGAAGGUGACCGGCCACACUGGGACUGAGAUACGGCCCAGACUCCUACGGGAGGCAGCAGUGGGGAAUAUUGCACAAUGGGCGCAAGCCUGAUGCAGCGACGCCGCGUGAGGGAUGACGG
rnacentral:rRNA from 1 species